GGGGGCGACCUGGCUUCGACGCGGUACGCGAAACCCGAGGGGCAUGCCGAGGGGCAGAUCACCUCGUAAAUCCAGCUGCAACCAAUAUAGUUGCCAACGACGACAACUACGCACUCGCUGCCUAAACCCCAGUAGGGUGCCGUCUGACCGGAGCCGUGCCUGUGCGUCCGGAUUUCAGGCGUCGACUCUCACAGGCUCGCGGAGCGGCGUGUCCGGCGCCAAUCCGUCAAAAUCUUGCCGGACUCGCCUGCUGUCUUCCCUGCCGAUCGGGUAGCAGCAGGUCAAAUCAAUAGACCGGCUAAGCAUGUAGAACCGAGGGCGUAGGUGCCGCGGACGCGGGUUCGAUUCCCGCCGCCUCCACCA
rnacentral:tmRNA from 1 species